CUUUAUGGCAGCUGUGCGCGGGAGACCUUCGGGUCUGCCGGUAUUCCGAUCCCGGUUCGCCAACCUGCGUACAGCUGUCACCCAU
rnacentral:antisense_RNA from 3 species